rnacentral:rRNA from 1 species
CCUACGGGGGGCUGCAGUGGGGAAUAUUGGACAAUGUGGGGAACCCUGAUCCAGCCAUGCCGCGUGUGUGAAGAAGGCCCUCGGGUUGUAAAGCACUUUCAGUGAGGAAGAACGCCUGGUGGUUAAUACCCAUCAGGAAAGACAUCACUCACAGAAGAAGCACCGGCUAACUCCGUGCCAGCAGCCGCGGUAAUACGGAGGGUGCGAGCGUUAAUCGGAAUUACUGGGCGUAAAGCGCGCGUAGGUGGCUUGAUAAGCCGGUUGUGAAAGCCCCGGGCUCAACCUGGGAACGGCAUCCGGAACUGUCAAGCUAGAGUGCAGGAGAGGAAGGUAGAAUUCCCGGUGUAGCGGUGAAAUGCGUAGAGAUCGGGAGGAAUACCAGUGGCGAAGGCGGCCUUCUGGACUGACACUGACACUGAGGUGCGAAAGCGUGGGUAGCAAACAGGAUUAGAUACCCGAGUAGUC